CAAACAGGCAAUGGGACUGUGCACCCUAUGACCACAGCUCCCAAGACACAGAACUGGGAUUGCCUGAGCACAAGGACCUCGUCAGAAUGUCUUAUCCUUGUCACUCCAGCUCCGGGCACAGUAAGGCACUCUGGGGCAAGGUAGAACUGUCCCCAAGUGGCUGUGAGGGGAAUUACAUCCAGUCCGUCUGCUCUGUGCUGGUGACUGUGGAUAAGGAUCAUCAUGGGCGCUCACCUCUGCAGCCCUUUGAGACAACAACCUCACAGCCACUCCUCAUCAGCCUCUUGCAGCUGAAGAUGACCCAGCCUGGAGAAGCUAUAGUGUGGAGCUAAAGACAUCAGCUCUGUGGUCAUCAGGCCUGCAUUCAAGGCAUCUUACUUCUCCUCUCGUGCAGCUUGGGCGAAAAUUCAAAGCAGCUCUCCAGAGCGUCUCCGGCUCUGAGCACCCCUUUUUGUGUUCUCUGAAAUGUCCUACCCAUCAUUUCCAGAUGGAUGACUGCCCUUUGGAGAUGAGACAACCGUUACUGUCUUGAAACCAAAGCAGCUGCGAUUAUCCACAUCAGACUUCACAUGGGGCCUGCUAGCACUGCCCUAUGAAGCAGGGAGGGGGCUCACAAGCCCCAUGAAGUGCUCAAUAGACUGCAUAAGACACUUAUGGGUCCUCGAGCUGCCUGAAACCUAUAAGUGGUGAACAGUUUCUGAGGGCUGGGGACCUUCCUCGGUGGAGUAGCUGCCACAAGUUUCCAUGCUCCUGUAGGUAACUCUAAUCAACUUAUUAUCACCAGGCUGAGUUUGGAUGAAAUAAUUUCUUUGCUCUGGCAUUGAUGUCCUAUCUGAAGUGAACAGGUGUUUGUUCUCAUGUCCUAGGAAAAGUAACACACUGUCCAGGCAGGAGGACACAAAGGUGGCGUAACUCCAAGUCACACAGACCAGCUGGCUAGAAGACUCUUCUAUGCUCCCAGGAGGGCGAGAGCACUGGGCUCCACAGCCAGCCAGGUGCUGUCGCCUGGAUUCUUCAGGAACCUUUGGAAGCAUUUUGUUCCUUUCAGCUUCUGUGGGUGGACAUCCAGGCUGACAGACAUCUUAAGACACAGUGGACGACGGUCCAGUGGGGGUGGUGGCUAUGGCAGUCGCCCUGCAGGAGAACCAGUUCAGCCAGGCAAUUUGUCAUUAGGAGUGUACCCUAACUUUGUUAGCGUGGCUUUGCAAAUGGCUUCACAAAUGGCUUUUUGUGGAACUUCCAUGUUCAAAGGACCUAGAAAUGAGUCUUUGUUUUACCACAUAAUUUUUACUUGUUUUAUCUUUUAAACAUGAUCACUAUCAUUAUCAUCAUCAUUAUUGUGUGUGUUGCUCAUGUGCAGGGCAGAGGACUACUUUGUGCAAUCAGUUUGGUUCUCUCCUUCCAUCUUUGUUUACAUGGACUCUAGGGCAUAAAUUCAGGUUGUUAAGCCUACAUAGCAAGCGCCUUUACCCACUGAACAGCUUUGCUAAUGUUUACGUAUAAUAAAAACAACAAUCACAACAAGAAAAAUGCCCAACAGGCGUGCAGCUAGUGGCAUUUGAAAUGCCAGUGUAGACAGUCCUUGACUUACAAUGCCUCAGUGUACAAGGAUUGGACUUUACAAAGUUGUGAAAGUGAUGUGCAUUCAGUGAAAACCAUGCUCACCUUUAGAAUUUUUGAUCAUUUCCUGGGCUAGUGACAGGCAUCAUGACCCUGUCUCCAGGUUGGACAGUGGCUGCCAGCUGCGGCUCCCAGUCAACCAUAGCAUCAGGAGGAGAAGCAACUGGCCCUGCACAGGCUGUUGCUAAGCUGUGACAUUUGGCAGUUAGGAUUAAAUGCGCUUUGACUUCCGGCAUUUGCAUCAUGAUGGAUGUAUCAGGACGGGCCCCCCGUCAUCAGUCAGCCGCUUUGAAUGGUACCAUUUCACCUAGUACAUCAAUGGCUGUCACAUUCCUGUGACUAGAGUCAAGGAAUGGCAUCUUCUGGAAUAUUCAGAUCUGGAUAUUUAUACACUUAAAUAC